rnacentral:rRNA from 1 species
GACGAACGCUGGCGGCGUGCUUAACACAUGCAAGUCGAGCGGUAAGGCCUCUUCGGGGUUCCCGAGCGGCGAACGGGUGAGUAACAAGUGGGUGACCCUCCCUCAGCUUUGGGAUAAGCCUGGGAAACUGGGUUUAAUACCCGAUAUGACCUUUUCUUGCAUUGGGUUUGGUUGAAAGGUUUUUCGGCCUGGUGUGGGCCCGCCGCCUAUCAGCUUGUUGGGGGGGGUGUGGCCUUCCAAGGCCACGACGGGUAGCCGGCCAGGAAGGGAGGCCGGGCACACUGGAACUGGGCCCCGGCCAGGAAUCCUCCGGAAGGAAGCAGUGGGGAAUUUUGCGCAGUGGGGGGAGGCUGACGCAGCGACGCCGCGUGGGGGAUGACGGCCUUCGGGUUGUAAACCUCUUUCGACCCCGACGAAUUUGGACGGUAGGGGUAGAAGAAGCACCGGCCAACUACGUG